rnacentral:rRNA from 1 species
GCAACUCGACUGCGUGAAGGUGGAGUCGCUAGUAAUCGCGGAUCAGCAACGCCGCGGUGAAUGCGUUCCCGGGCCUUGUACACACCGCCCGUCAAGUCAUGAAAGUGGGCAGCACCCGAAGACGGUGGCCUAACCCUUGUGGGGGGAGCCGUCUAAGGUGAGGCUCGUGAUUGGGACUAAGUCGUAACAAGGUAAC